UACGGAGGGUGCAAGCGUUAAUCGGAAUUACUGGGCGUAAAGCGCACGCAGGUGGCUGAGUCAGUCGAUUGUGGAAGCCCUGGGCUUAACCUGGGAAUUGCAGUCGAUACUACUCGGCUCGAGUAUGGGAGAGGGCAGUGGAAUUCCCGGUGUAGCGGUGAAAUGCGUAGAUAUCGGGAGGAACAUCAGUGGCGAAGGCGGCUCACUGGCCCGGUACUGACGCUGAGGUGCGAAAGCGUGGGGAGCAAACAGG
rnacentral:rRNA from 1 species